rnacentral:rRNA from 1 species
UACGUAGGGUGCAAGCGUUAAUCGGAAUUACUGGGCGUAAAGCGUGCGCAGGCGGUUGUGCAAGUCAGAUGUGAAAUCCCCGGGCUUAACCUGGGAAUUGCAUUUGUGACUGUACGGCUAGAGUGUGUCAGAGGGGGGUAGAAUUCCACGUGUAGCAGUGAAAUGCGUAGAGAUGUGGAGGAAUACCGAUGGCGAAGGCAGCCCCCUGGGAUAACACUGACGCUCAUGCA